GAUAAACGCUGGCGGCGUGCCUAAUGCAUGCAAGUCGAACGGAGCGGACUUCGGUUCGUUCAGUGGCGGACGGGUGAGGAACACGUACGAGACCUGCCCUGUGGUGGGGAAUAACCCUUCGAAAGAGGGGCUAACGCCGCAUACGCUCGUUGGGGUGAUACCUGAUGAGGAAAGCCGAGAGGUGCCAGAGGAGGGGCGUGCGGCCCGAUUAGGCUCGUUGGUGGGGUAACGGCCUACCAAGGCNGCGAUCGGUAGCUGGUCUGAGAGGAUGGACAGCCACACU
rnacentral:rRNA from 1 species